GAUUAAAUAUAUAAUUUGUAUGAAUAUAAAUAACAAGGAUGAAAUGCUAUGUUGCAUGGGUGAGUUUUGGUCAAAACUGACAGCACAAGCAGCAAAAUCAACGCAAUCUCUAUAGAAAACGCCACACCUGACCAUUACUGUAAUUUGAAUGCAGUUGGAAAUAGCAAAUAUUGGCAAUAUUUUCUAGCUGGAAGGGAUACGAUUGAAAAUAGUAUGAGUGGAUACAAAUGAUUGUCCUCUCUUUACCACUAUAGGCUGACCGUGUAUUUGUGAUACGUAAUGAGGAUAGUCCAUGUUGACCACAAUAUGGAAGGCUGGUGAUUUAGAUAAGCCUACUCAUGAUCUACUUCUAAUAUGAAGUCUAACGUGUCAGACAGAAAUAUGCAUUAUGCAUUUGAUAAUUGAUUGACGGACCACAUUAAGAUUAUAAUGGCUUUGUCUUCGGAAAUAUAGAUUUGAAAUACAGGCCUAUAUGAUUUUUUCUAUAUGCUAAAUGUUAACAGUUUCUUCUCUAUCAUCACAUUCCUCCAUCUUAGGUAUAUGAUACUGGAAUAUAUUUUACAUUUUAGUCAUUUAGCAGACGCUCUUAUCCAGAGUGACUUACAGGAGCAGUUAUGUUAACUGCCUUGCUCAAGGGCACAUCGCCAGAUUUUGCACCUAGGCGGCUCGGGGAUUCGAACCAGCGACUUUUCGGUUAGGCCUACUGGCCCAACGCUCUUAGCCGCUAUUGGCUACAUGCCACCACACGUAUUCAAUGGCUGUCCAUUUUGACAGCUAUCCGUGGCAAUUCAAAUGACAAAUAGGUAGCCUAAUUGCUUUUGUCUCCAAAAAAUGUGUAAAUUCAAAUAGCUCUCAUUUUUCUAAAUCUUGCUAAAGACCUUGUUCGGCCUGUAGCUCAACACUAAGUUGUAAAUAUGUAUUAUUAGUGUGAUUGGAAAUUGGAACCGCACCUUAUGCCUAUCUAGGUCACAUAUAGCUGCCAUUCCUCAGUGUACAUAUUGGUCCAAGUGCGUCACACUAUAGCCUACAAAUUCGCAAAAUGUGGUUUGGUUUUAAAGUGGCGAAAGCAAUAAUUGAUGUGCACUAAUCUUAGAAUGUUGUAGCCUAUGCAUGCAACCCCAUGUGUGUUUGUCAAGACAAACUACUUGUAGGUCCAUGACAGCAUGCAGCCUCUUCGGAGGGAAAAAUCUUUACGUGUGCCCGUCUGACCACUUCUAUUGGGUGACACAUCAGACGAGCAGUUUGGGAGCAAGGUUCACUUGUGGAGGAGGCAGAGUUACACGAGUAGGGAGUACAGCGUCUCCAACCGGCUCGCACAAUCAAUUGGGCUGGAAAAUUGGCGUCGACUUGAUUGAGAGCGCGUGCAUAGCCUGCCAGGAAGAUUUAAAUGGUGAUGUAAAAUAUAAGGGGUUGGAGAAAUAUGGCCCUGAUUCCCCUUGCUCAGGAGAGAGACCAAAUGGACAUGUCUGUCUGGGACUUUGCCUACUGCUGAACCAACAUGAGCUCAGAUGGAGCAUCUAUCUGUGUGACCCUUUACUGUUGUCUCUAGUGGAGCUCGAGACAUGGACUUCCAUCACCACCUGAACAUCAACAUGCACAACCGUCAAGAUACAGUAUGCUGAGAAGACAGAUACAGAACUCUGCUAUUUAUCAUCAGCAUGCAUACAUCUGUUCUAGAUACACAGAAACCACCAAAUAUACACUAACAUCCUUUGAAUCAAGUCAGUGUUUUGUAUCAUUGUGAUUUAAAUCUUGUUUGUUGUAAAACUGUUUACCAUAUGUCUACUCACUGGGAUGUAAAAGUACAACAUUAUUUAUUCUGAAUUGUAAAAGUCUGUAUUGGACCUGGCAUAUUGGUAUAUUGGAUUUUGAAUGAACCUGCCCUUAGAAUACAGCAUGACAUCAGAAGGGAACCCGCAGAGCACAUUGUCUUUAUCUGACAUUGACUGAAUUUAUAGAAAAAGUAAACCUCAAUGGGAAUAUUUUUCUACUUUCUCAAAUCACUGAAUUUCCUCAAUGAACGGAAUAAAGUAUAUUCAAGAAUAUCUUGUUUCUGACUUUUUUACAGUAUGUCUACAGUAGACCUACUGUAUAUACCUUUGACAUGAUUAGAUCCUCUGUGGGAUCAAUGUGGAAUGGGUGCUGAUUAAAAUAAAACAACAUGGCUGACAUGGCUGUAGCAGUUCCUGAUUGACCCUGAUAUUUCUCAGAAUGAAACAUACAGUUUGCAUACAGUACAAAUAAACGACAUACAUGUUACAUUUACCUUGUCAAUGUGUUACCAUAUUAUGUCAAAUUAGAUACAACUGUAAAAUCUAAAAUGGAAAAGAUACUAGCUAUGGUCACUACCUGAAGCACCUUGACAACCAGGGCAAGCUUUGUAGCCUUCUACACAUUUUGUGUUUGUGUUUGCUAGCAGAAUGCAUCUUCUACUUUUUUCCUUCUCUGUCACAAUGUUUGCCUUAAUUUUGUUGUUUUGUUCUACAUGAAGAAGGUUCAAAGUUUUCAUUCCCACUUCCUCUGUUACCUGCCUGUCACUUUCCUUCUCCUGACAAACAAUAUCUCUCCUCACCUGUCUCCCAACCCCCACUUCCUCUGUUUCCGGCCUGUCUCACUUCUUCUCCUGACAAAAUGUUUCUCUCCUCACUUUUCUCCCUUCCCUCUGUCUCACUCAUCAUAUAUCCUUCUCCUCCACUCUCUCUACUUUUUCUCUCUCCUUCUCAAUCCCAUUAAACC
rnacentral:lncRNA from 1 species